rnacentral:lncRNA from 1 species
GAGUUUGGAGCAAGUAACUGUCAGUGAGGUUGCAGUUGGUCUGGGCUGUUUGGCUGUGAGCGAAAUAGCUGCCCCCCACUUCUCACUUGCACACCACGGGAUACUCCUCCUGAGGCUCCGGAUGAUUCAGAUGGACUGUGAAAAACAACAAGAUGGAUGAUCAUAUGGAGAUUGCUUCUAACAUAAAUCUGCAUAAAAAUUUUUCUGAAACAUGGCUGGAAUAUUUAAGGAGUUUUUUUUCAGUACUGAGGACCUCCCUGAAGUCAUUCUAACAUUGUCUUUGAUCAGCUCCAUUGGAGCAUUUUUGAACCGGCACUUGGAAGACUUUCCAAUUCCUGUCCCUGUGAUAUUAUUUUUACUUGGAUGCAGUUUUGAAGUAUUAAGCUUUACAUCUUCACAGAUUUAGGAGCACCUAGCAUGUAUUCUAUUCUAAUAGUGAUGAAUAAAUGAGAAGAUGAUAUAUUUGUAUAAUAUUAGGUCCAAAGAUACGCAAACGCCAUACAAUGGAUGAGUCCAGACUUAUUUUUUCGUAUAUUUACACCAGUAGUUUUCUUUACUACUGCAUUU